UACCAGCACCCCGAGUGGUCGGGACGUUUAUUGGGCCUAAAGCAUCCGUAGCCGGUUCUACAAGUCUUCCGUUAAAUCCACCUGCUUAACAGAUGGGCUGCGGAAGAUACUAUAGAGCUAGGAGGCGGGAGAGGCAAGCGGUACUCGAUGGGUAGGGGUAAAAUCCGUUGAUCCAUUGAAGACCACCAGUGGCGAAGGCGGCUUGCCAGAACGCGCUCGACGGUGAGGGAUGAAAGCUAGGGGAGCAAACGGG
rnacentral:rRNA from 1 species